CCUACGGGUGGCAGCAGUAGGGAAUAUUGCUCAAUGGGGGAAACCCUGAAGCAGCAACGCCGCGUGGAGGAUGAAGGUUUUCUGAUUUUAAACUCCUUUUUUUAGAGACGUUAACGACGGUAUCUAACGAAUAAUCACCGGCUAACUCCGUGCCAGCAGCCGCGGUAAUACGGAGGGUGCCAGCGUUACUCGGAAUCACUGGGCGUAAAGGGCGCGUAGGCGGGAUAGCAAGUCAGAUGUGAAAUCCUAUGGCUUAACCAUAGAACUGCAUUUGAAACUGUUAUUCUAGAGUAUAGGAGAGGUAGGUGGAAUGCUUGGUGUAGGGGUGAAAUGCGUAGAGAUCAAGAAGAAUACCGAUUGCGAAGGCGGCCUGCUAGAACAUAACUGACGCUGAUGCGCGAAAGCGUGGGGAGCAAACAGGAUUAGAUACCCUAGUAGUC
rnacentral:rRNA from 1 species